rnacentral:rRNA from 1 species
GCUUUCCUACGGGACGCAGCAGUGAGGAAUAUUGGUCAAUGGGCGCGAGCCUGAACCAGCCAAGUAGCGUGAAGGAUGACUGCCCUACGGGUUGUAAACUUCUUUUAUAAAGGAAUAAGGUGAGGCACGUGUGCCUUUUUGUAUGUAUUUUAUGAAUAAGGAUCGGCUAACUCCGUGCCAGCAGCCGCGGUAAUACGGAGGAUGCGAGCGUUAUCCGGAUUUAUUGGGUUUAAAGGGUGCGCAGGCGGUCUGUUAAGUCAGCGGUCAAAGCCCGGGGCUCAACCCCGGCCCGCCGUUGAAACUGG